AUUGAACGCUGGCGGCAUGCCUUACACAUGCAAGUCGAACGGCAGCACGGGAGCAAUCCUGGUGGCGAGUGGCGAACGGGUGAGUAAUAUAUCGGAACGUGCCCAGUCGUGGGGGAUAACGCAGCGAAAGUUGUGCUAAUACCGCAUACGAUCUAUGGAUGAAAGCGGGGGAUCGCAAGACCUCGCGCGAUUGGAGCGGCCGAUAUCAGAUUAGGUUGUUGGUGAGGUAAAAGCUCACCAAGCCUGCGAUCUGUAGCUGGUCUGAGAGGACGACCAGCCACACUGGAACUGAGACACGGUCCAGACUCCUACGGGAGGCAGCAGUGGGGAAUUUUGGACAAUGGACGAAAGUCUGAUCCAGCAAUGCCGCGUGCAGGACGAAGGCCUUCGGUUGUAAACUGCUUUUGUACAGAACGAAAAGUACUUUAAUAACACUAGAGGCUCAUGACGUACUGUAAGAAUAAGCACCGGCUAACU
rnacentral:rRNA from 1 species